rnacentral:rRNA from 1 species
CCUACGGGUGGCAGCAGUGGGGAAUAUUGGACAAUGGGCGAAAGCCUGAUCCAGCAAUGCCGCGUGAGUGAUGAAGGCCUUCGGGUUGUAAAGCUCUUUUACCAGGGAUGAUAAUGACGGUACCUGGAGAAUAAGCCCCGGCUAACUCCGUGCCAGCAGCCGCGGUAAUACGGAGGGGGCUAGCGUUGUUCGGAAUUACUGGGCGUAAAGCGCACGUAGGCGGCUACUCAAGUCAGAGGUGAAAGCCCGGGGCUCAACCCCGGAACUGCCUUUGAAACUAGGUAGCUAGAAUCUUGGAGAGGUCAGUGGAAUUCCCAGUGUAGAGGUGAAAUUCGUAGAUAUUGGGAAGAACACCAGUGGCGAAGGCGGCUGACUGGACCGGUACUGACGCUGAGGUGCGAAAGCGUGGGGAGCAAACAGGAUUAGAUACCCUUGUAGUC